UACGUAGGUGGCAAGCGUUAUCCGGAUUUACUGGGUGUAAAGGGCGCGUAGGCGGGAAAGCAAGUCAGAUGUGAAAACCACGGGCUCAACCUGUGGCCUGCAUUUGAAACUGUUUUUCUUGAGUACUGGAGAGGCAGACGGAAUUCCUCGUGUAGCGGUGAAAUGCGUAGAUAUGAGGAGGAACACCAGUGGCGAAGGCGGUCUGCUGGACAGCAACUGACGCUGAGGCGCGAAAGCGUGGGGAGCAAACAGG
rnacentral:rRNA from 1 species